CCGUGCUAGGUGGGGAGGUAGCGGUUCCCUGUACUCGAAUUGAAGAUUUCGGUCCUAUGCAAUAUGAACCCAUGAACCAUGUCAGGUCCUGACGGAAGCAGCAUUAAGUGGAUCCUCAUAUGUGCCGUAGGGUAGCCGAGAUUUAGCUGUCGACUUCGG
rnacentral:SRP_RNA from 1 species